GUGUAGCGGUGAAAUGCGUAGAUAUCUGNAGGAACACCAACGGCGAAGGCAGCUUACUGGACGAGAUCUGACACUGAUGNACGAAAGCGUGGGGAGCGAAAGGGAUUUGAUACCCCUGUAGUNCACGCCGUAAACGUUGUGCACUCGCUAUGAGAGGAUUCGACCCCUUUCGUGGCUUAGCUAACGCGUUAAGUGCACCGCCUGAGGACUACGACCGCAAGGUUAAAACUCAAAGGAAUUGACGGGUCCCCNCACAAGCGGUGGAGCAUGUGGCUUAAUUCGAUGCAACGCGAAGAACCUUACCAGGCCUUGACAUGUAGUGGACCGGUCCAGAAAUNGACCUUCUCUUCGGAGCCGCUUCACAGGUGCUGCAUGGCCGUCGUCAGCUCGUGUCGUGAGAUGUUCGGUUAAGUCCGUCAACGAGCGCAACCCCUGUCCUUAGUUGCCAGCAUUCAGUUGGGGACUCUAAGGAGACUAACUUGUUUUACAAGUGGGAAGGUGGGGAUGACGUCAGGUCAGUAUGGCCCUUAUGGUCUGGGCUGCACACGUGCUACAAUGCCAAGUACAAUGGGUUGCUACCUCGCGAGAGGAUGCUAAUCUCCAAAGCUUGGCCCAGUUCGGAUUGGAGUCURCAACUCGACUCCAUGAAGUUGGAAUCGNUAGUAAUGGCGCAUCAGCUACGGCGCCGUGAAUACGUUCCCGGAAUUGUAAA
rnacentral:rRNA from 1 species